AAGCCAAUGAGGAUUUGUUCUGUUUUAGUUGGAAUUACCGGCUGAGUUUUCAUUGAUGUCAAAUAGACUGGCUAUCUGAGGCUUUGA